rnacentral:rRNA from 1 species
UACGUAGGGUGCAAGCGUUAAUCGGAAUUACUGGGCGUAAAGCGUGCGCAGGCGGUUGUGUAAGACAGAUGUGAAAUCCCCGGGCUUAACCUGGGAAUUGCAUUUGUGACUGCACGGCUGGAGUGUGGCAGAGGGGGGUAGAAUUCCACGUGUAGCAGUGAAAUGCGUAGAUAUGUGGAGGAAUACCGAUGGCGAAGGCAGCCCCCUGGGAUAACACUGACGCUCAUGCACGAAAGCGUGGGGAGCAAACAGG